UAGGGAAUCUUCGGCAAUGGACGGAAGUCUGACCGAGCUACGCCGCGUGAGUGAAGAAGGUUUUCGGAUCGUAAAGCUCUGUUGUUAGAGAAGAACGUUGGUAGGAGUGGAAAAUCUACCAAGUGACGGUAACUAAUCAGAAAGGGACGGCUAACUACGUGCCAGCAUCCGCGGUAAUACGUAGGUCCCGAUCGUUGUCCGGAUUUAUUGGGCGUAAAGCGAGCGCAGGCGGUUAUUUAAGUCUGAAGUUAAAGGCAGUGGCUUAACCAUUGUACGCAUUAGAAACGGGAGGAUUUGAGUGCAGAAGGGGAGAGUGAAAUUCCAGGUGUAGCGGUGAAAUGCGUAGAUAUAUGGAAGAACACCGGUGGCGAAAGCGGCUAUCUGGUGUGUAACUGACGCAGAGGAUAGAAAGAGUGGGGAGAAAACAGG
rnacentral:rRNA from 1 species